rnacentral:rRNA from 1 species
AACGAACGCUGGCGGCGUGCUUAACACAUGCAAGUCGAACGGACUGGGGGGCUUGCUCCUCAGUUAGUGGCGCACGGGUGAGUAACACGUGGACAACCUGCCCUGGAGUCCGGGACAACAUCUCGAAAGGGGUGCUAAUACCGGAUAAGCCCACGGGGACUUAGGUCCCUGCGGGAAAAGGAGGCCUCUGAUCCAAGCUUCCGCUUCUGGAUGGGUCCGCGUCCCAUCAGCUAGUUGGUAGGGUAACGGCCUACCAAGGCGACGACGGGUAGCUGGUCUGAGAGGAUGAUCAGCCACACUGGAACUGAGACACGGUCCAGACUCCUACGGGAGGCAGCAGUGGGGAAUUUUGCGCAAUGGGGGAAACCCUGACGCAGCAACGCCGCGUGGGUGAUGAAGGCCUUUGGGUCGUAAAGCCCUGUCAGAGGGGAAGAAACGUGCGGGGCUAAUAUCCUUUGCACUUGACGGUACCCUCAAAGGAAGCACCGGCUAACUCCGUGCCAGCAGCCGCGGUAAUACGGGA